rnacentral:rRNA from 1 species
UGGGGAAUAUUGCACAAUGGGGGAAACCCUGAUGCAGCGACGCCGCGUGAGCGAUGAAGUAUUUCGGUAUGUAAAGCUCUAUCAGCAGGGAAGAAAAUGACGGUACCUGACUAAGAAGCACCGGCUAAAUACGUGCCAGCAGCCGCGGUAAUACGUAUGGUGCAAGCGUUAUCCGGAUUUACUGGGUGUAAAGGGAGCGUAGACGGAGUGGCAAGUCUGAUGUGAAAACCCGGGGCUCAACCCCGGGACUGCAUUGGAAACUGUCAAUCUGGAGUACCGGAGAGGUAAGCGGAAUUCCUAGUGUAGCGGUGAAAUGCGUAGAUAUUAGGAGGAACACCAGUGGCGAAGGCGGCUUACUGGACGGUAACUGACGUUGAGGCUCGAAAGCGUGGGGAGCAAACAGG